rnacentral:rRNA from 1 species
GACGAACGCUGGCGGCGUGCCUAACACAUGCAAGUCGUGCGAGAAAGUUCCUUCGGGAGCGAGUAAAGCGGCGCACGGGUGAGUAACACGUAGGUAACCUGCCCCCCAGUCUGGAACAACUAGAGGAAACUCUAGCUAAUGCCGGAUGUAGACCACGAUCCCUUCGGGGGUUGCGGCCAAAGAUGGCCUCUACUUGUAAGCUAUCGCUGAGGGAUGGGCCUGCGGGCCAUUAGCUUGUUGGUGAGGUAACGGCUCACCAAGGCUGUGAUGGCUAGCUGGUCUGAGAGGAUGACCAGCCACACU